UGGGGAAUAUUGCACAAUGGGCGCAAGCCUGAUGCAGCCAUGCCGCGUGUGUGAAGAAGGCCUUCGGGUUGUAAAGCACUUUCAGCGGGGAGGAAGGCGAUAAGGUUAAUAACCUUGUCGAUUGACGUUACCCGCAGAAGAAGCACCGGCUAACUCCGUGCCAGCAGCCGCGGUAAUACGGAGGGUGCAAGCGUUAAUCGGAAUUACUGGGCGUAAAGCGCACGCAGGCGGUCUGUCAAGUCGGAUGUGAAAUCCCCGGGCUCAACCUGGGAACUGCAUUCGAAACUGGCAGGCUAGAGUCUUGUAGAGGGGGGUAGAAUUCCAGGUGUAGCGGUGAAAUGCGUAGAGAUCUGGAGGAAUACCGGUGGCGAAGGCGGCCCCCUGGACGAAGACUGACGCUCAGGUGCGAGAGCGUGGGGAGCAAACAGG
rnacentral:rRNA from 1 species